rnacentral:rRNA from 1 species
CCUACGGGAGGCAGCAGUGAGGAAUAUUGGUCAAUGGACGAGAGUCUGAACCAGUCAAGUAGCGUGAAGGAUGACUGCCCUAUGGGUUGUAAACUUCUUUUAUAUGGGAAUAAAAUGUUCCACGUGUGGGAUUUUGUAUGUACCAUAUGAAUAAGGAUCGGCUAACUCCGUGCCAGCAGCCGCGGUAAUACGGAGGAUCCGAGCGUUAUUCGGAUUUAUUGGGUUUAAAGGGAGCGUAGGUGGAUUGUUAAGUCAGUUGUGAAAGUUUGCGGCUCAACCGUAAAAUUGCAGUUGAAACUGGCAGUCUUGAGUACAGUAGAGGUGGGCGGAAUUCGUGGUGUAGCGGUGAAAUGCUUAGAUAUCACGAAGAACUCCGAUUGCGAAGGCAGUUCACUGGACUGCAACUGACACUGAGGCUCGAAAGUGUGGGUAUCAAACAGGAUUAGAUACCCUUGUAGUC